AUGAAGUGGUCAGUAUUCUGCUGGUUGGCGUUUUUUGUUUCUCUGGACAUGCUCUCUCAGAAUUGUUUUUCAGAAAAUGGCGCCUGUACAUCCUGUGCUGAAAAGUGUGGUGAAAGCAUGACUAACUGCUGUUUUCAGACUGUGUGGAACCCUGUGCAAAAUGGCACCAAUGAAGACCCCAUUGAAACCAUGAAAAUCCUAGAAAAGAUUCUCGAGGAAACAAAAGUGGAAGGGGCCAUAUCGAUGCAUUCCUCUGAUUUAGUUGUUCUCCUGUUCAAACCCAAUCGUACCUCUGACGACCUUGAAAUUUUCGCCAGUGACAGCGAGGUAUGAAAAAAAUAUAAUAAUUUUGACAUAACAUUUUCACUCACUGGCAGUUUAUUUGAUACAUAAUUUGUG
rnacentral:lncRNA from 1 species